UACAGAGGUCCCGAGCGUUGUUCGGAUUCACUGGGCGUAAAGGGUGCGUAGGUGGCCAUGAAAGUCUGAUGUGAAAUCUCCGGGCUCAACCCGGAAAAUGCAUUGGAUACUAUGUGGCUUGAGGUUUGGAGGGGGGACUGGAAUUCUCGGUGUAGCAGUGAAAUGCGUAGAUAUCGAGAGGAACACCAGUGGCGAAGGCGGGUCCCUGGACAACACCUGACACUGAGGCACGAAAGCUAGGGGAGCAAACAGGAUUAGAAACCCCGGUAGUCC
rnacentral:rRNA from 1 species